CCCGAACAAACUGCAGAUUGGUGUUGAGGAGGUAAGCUACUUUGGGCAUAUCAUCAGUAAAAAUGCAAUCAUUAAAAUGCAAGCACCAACUUCCAGAAAAGAACUAGAAACAGCACUGGGCAUUUUCAAUUAUCUGUCAAAGUUUUCGCAGGGUUUAGCCCAACAAACAGCACCUCUACGAACUCUACUGAAGAAAAA